rnacentral:lncRNA from 1 species
CAUAUUCUAGACAAUUUAGAGUUUACACUACAAUUCAAACAAUAGUUCUUAACUUACAUUCCUAAUUGAAAUAGAUUCAUUAAUUUAAUAAUCCCUAUGUUAUACAACAAACAAAUAAUACACACUAUAAAACUAUAUAUAGUCCUCAAAAUGAUCUCAUUGUUCUGUAACAAUUUGUGUUGGUGUUAUCUCCCUUUCUAACCUCCCUUCAUCUUACCUCUUUCCUGCAACCAUUCCACACCCAUGUCAAUAGUUGAUGACAAAAUUAUAACAGAAGACAAUGAGAUUAUAAUCAGUUAACCUACAGAAGCAAUUAGCUUCCCAUGUGGGAAAAAAGAGCAGAAAAAACAGGUAUUGGAAUGAACAACUUUGGUCAAUCAACCUACACCAUGUUUAUACUACAUUUUAUUUGGAGGACUCUAGUAGAUUUGAACCAAUAAGUCAUUGUGUAUCCAUUUUCAAGUUUCCAUUCUAAUCCAGUGUGCAUUUUCAUAAAGGUGUUGUGCACACUCUGAUGAAGAGCAUACAUAAUUAGUCAUGAAAGAUUCUAAACAGGGCAAUUUGUGAAGGGAUACAUAAUUAGUCUAGUAUAUCCUUCAAAACUUGAUAAAAAAUCUGACAGUAAAGACAUGACAUAUUGAUCCAUAUCAUAAUUAGUUAAGGAUGACACUUCAAUAGUAAAGACCAAUAUAGUUAGCAAUUAACAGUGAUUAAUAAUAAAUCACCUUAAAUUCCUCUGCAAAGAGGAACCGGAAUUUCGAGUUUUAUGUAAAUCAAAUUCAAACCAGUUUCAUGUAACAAAAAGAAACCUACAUGUAAGCCAAAAGUUUGGCCUUGUGUGAAAGUUAUAGGCCUUAAGAUUAACCAAUUCCAAAGGUUAAACAUUAUAUCUCUUUGACUAUUUCUCACUUUAUUUCAUCCCUACUACUUCAGCAUGCUAAAUUAAUAAAAGCACAUCAAUAAGAGGCAAAAUAUUAUCCCAUGUGGAACCAAAGUGAUUACUAACCUUUAGAGCUUGUACUUCUUAAAUUGUUUUGCUUAUGCAUGCAUCUCCAGAGCUAUUAUUACCCCAUGUGGAGGAAGGAUAUCCUCUGUCGAAAAACAACCAGGAGAAAAUAAAGUGAAUAUCAAUGACAAUAAUAAAAGAAAGAAAGUAAAUGACCUCACAAUGAUCGUCACCAUUUAAUCAUAACCUUCUACUUCCAAUUCUUCAUUGAAACUUGAUAGGACCAAUUACAUUAUGCACUCAUAGUUUGAGUUAUGCGCCCUUCAUCCUCUUCAAUUAAUCUCCCCUUCAACUAUUUAUGAUGGCAAUAUUAAAAUUCCAUGACAGAAACCAUUCAAAUGUUAAUCUCCAUUGUAAAAGUCAUGACAGUAGCCCUCCAAGACAACAUGUGACAAAAGUAAUUCAUCUUGUAGUUUGUUCCUAUUGGAGCAUAACAGAACAAAUAUAUUAUAAAAAGCAAGAAAAUCAUAUUAUAAAAAAUUCUAAUUCAACAUAUAAAAAACAAUAUAGCAUUUCAAUCAAUGAGUUUUCUUGAACCAUGUGAAUUCAAAUGCUCAUCUUUGUGACUGUUUGAGGUUAACAUAAACUGACAAAGCCAAAAAAAAGUUCAAUUGAACUAAAUGUGACCAUUCAAACUCCAUCAUAUCUCACUUCUGCAGUUGUAGCUGAUAUUUGUAGCAGCGGUGUAGCAAAACCUUUUUCCAAACCAAAAGUCUCUUCUCAAGUAAAAUGAAAAACCUUGAAUUAAUUUCGGUUAGUAGAACCUGUAAAAGGAACCGUAAUCAAGUUUAUGAAAGACAUGAUUCAAAUCUUAUUAUAAGAUACACUGGUGCAAAUCAUUCCAUAUAUAUAAAUCAUUUUAACUGACAAAGUAUUCUCAAUAAUAAAUCAUGUUAUGAUCACUCAAGGCAUGAAAUUAAACCACAACCUCCAAAAUAGAGCUGAUGCGUAUUAGUUCCUUUUCAAUAAGGUGUUAUAUAUCAACAAAGGCUAAUUUUGAAAUUAUCAACUUAUGUGUUUAUGGUUAAAAAAUAAUAGGAAGGUUUGUUCAUGCAAAUGAAGCACUAACUAAAAUUUCCUACUAAUAAGGCAUAUCUAAUAGAUUAAAUCAAACUAACAGUCAUUAUUCCUAAUUAAUGGCUGAUGUCUAUCCACAUGUGGCAAAGGGAAAGAAACCAAACCUCUUCAUUAUUGUGUGGCUGCAAAAAAAAAAUCAGAAUUUUUUUAACCUGAUUGCAAUUAAAAAAUAAAUAAAAGACUAAUAAUGUUAUGUAAUUAUAGGUAUAUAGAAAAGACUGCAGGUUUUCCAAACAGUUGUCAGCAAUCAAAAUCAACAAAAUAGAUUCAAAAUCAAGCAAAAUCAAUUUACCAUCCAACAAAGUAAAGAAAGAUCAUAG